rnacentral:lncRNA from 1 species
CCACAAUUCACACAAAAACUUAACAAAAUACAACUUAGAUAAUAAGCCUGAAAUUGUCAAAUCUGCCAACCACCAUAGCAAGUAUCUUAAUUUAAUUGUCGAUGAUUUCAAUAAGAAAAAACAACAGCCAAGUGAUUUUAGAUCGAAGCCUCCGCACCGCCCAAUUUUCCCCAUCCCUCAGCCGCCGCCACCCUCACAC